rnacentral:rRNA from 1 species
UACGAAGGGUGCAAGCGUUACUCGGAAUUACUGGGCGUAAAGCGUGCGUAGGUGGUUUUUUAAGUCCGUUGUGAAAGCCCUGGGCUCGACCUGGGAAUGGCAGUGGAUACUGGAAAGCUAGAGUGCGGUAGAGGGGAGUGGAAUUCCCGGUGUAGCAGUGAAAUGCGUAGAGAUCGGGAGGAACACCCGUGGCGAAGGCGGCUCUCUGGGACGGUACUGACGCUGAGACGCGAAAGCGUGGGGAGCGAACAGG